CUUUAAAAUGGUUAAUUUUGGUGCAUACCUAUAGUCGCAGGGACUUGGGAGUCUGGCUUGAGUCCAUGAGUUCUGGGCUGUAGCACACACUGCCAAUCGGGUAUCCACACUGAGUUUGACAUCAAUAUGGUGACCUCCCAGGAGCAAGGGACCACCAGUGGCCUAAGGAGGAGUGAACAGGCCCAAGUCAGAAACUGAACAGGUCAAAAAUCCUGUGCUAAUCAGUAGAGGUAUCACACCUGUAAAUAGCCACCAUACUCUAGCCUGGACAACAUAGCAAGAUCCUGUCUCU
ensembl:misc_RNA Metazoa_SRP Metazoan signal recognition particle RNA